ensembl:miRNA
AAAACUAAAAAGUCACAAUCAACAUUCAUUCUGUCGGUGGGUUGUUAUGCUGGUGGAGAAGCUCACUGAUCAGUGAAUGCAACUGUGGCUGAA